GACGAACGCUGGCGGCGUGCUUAACACAUGCAAGUCGAACGGAAAGGCCCUGCUUUUGUGGGGUGCUCGAGUGGCGAACGGGUGAGUAACACGUGAGUAACCUGCCCUUGACUUUGGGAUAACUUCAGGAAACUGGGGCUAAUACCGGAUAGGAGCUCCUGCUGCAUGGCGGGGGUUGGAAAGUUUCGGCGGUUGGGGAUGGACUCGCGGCUUAUCAGCUUGUUGGUGGGGUAGUGGCUUACCAAGGCUUUGACGGGUAGCCGGCCUGAGAGGGUGACCGGCCACAUUGGGACUGAGAUACGGCCCAGACUCCUACGGGAGGCAGCAGUGGGGAAUAUUGCACAAUGGGCGGAAGCCUGAUGCAGCAACGCCGCGUGCGGGAUGACGGCCUUCGGGUUGUAAACCGCUUUCGCCUGUGACGAAGCGUGAGUGACGGUAAUGGGUAAAGAAGCACCGGCUAACUACGUGCCAGCAGCCGCGGUGAUACGUAGGGUGCGAGCGUUGUCCGGAUUUAUUGGGCGUAAAGGGCUCGUAGGUGGUUGAUCGCGUCGGAAGUGUAAUCUUGGGGCUUAACCCUGAGCGUGCUUUCGAUACGGGUUGACUUGAGGAAGGUAGGGGAGAAUGGAAUUCCUGGUGGAGCGGUGGAAUGCGCAGAUAUCAGGAGGAACACCAGUGGCGAAGGCGGUUCUCUGGGCCUUUCCUGACGCUGAGGAGCGAAAGCGUGGGGAGCGAACAGGCUUAGAUACCCUGGUAGUCCACGCUGUAAACGGUGGGUACUAGGUGUGGGGUCCAUUCCACGGGUUCCGUGCCGUAGCUAACGCUUUAAGUACCCCGCCUGGGGAGUACGGCCGCAAGGCUAAAACUCAAAGGAAUUGACGGGGCCCCGCACAAGCGGCGGAGCAUGCGGAUUAAUUCGAUGCAACGCGUAGAACCUUACCUGGGUUUGACAUGGAUCGGGAGCGCUCAGAGAUGGGUGUGCCUCUUUUGGGGUCGGUUCACAGGUGGUGCAUGGCUGUCGUCAGCUCGUGUCGUGAGAUGUUGGGUUAAGUCCCGCAACGAGCGCAACCCUUGUUCACUGUUGCCAGCACGUUAUGGUGGGGACUCAGUGGAGACCGCCGGGGUCAACUCGGAGGAAGGUGGGGAUGACGUCAAGUCAUCAUGCCCCUUAUGUCCAGGGCUUCACGCAUGCUACAAUGGCUGGUACAGAGAGUGGCGAGCCUGUGAGGGUGAGCGAAUCUCGGAAAGCCGGUCUCAGUUCGGAUUGGGGUCUGCAACUCGACCUCAUGAAGUCGGAGUCGCUAGUAAUCGCAGAUCAGCAACGCUGCGGUGAAUACGUUCCCGGG
rnacentral:rRNA from 1 species